rnacentral:rRNA from 1 species
AACGAACGCUGACGGCAUGCCUAACACAUGCAAGUCGAACGAGACCUUCGGGUCUAGUGGCGCACGGGUGCGUAACGCGUGGGAACCUGCCCUUAGGUUCGGAAUAACUCCCCGAAAGGGGUGCUAAUACCGGAUAAUGUCUUCGGACCAAAGAUUUAUCGCCUUUGGAUGGGCCCGCGUUGGAUUAGCUAGUUGGUAGGGUAAAAGCCUACCAAGGCGACGAUCCAUAGCUGGUCUGAGAGGAUGAUCAGCCACACUGGGACUGAGACACGGCCCAGACUCCUACGGGAGGCAGCAGUGGGGAAUAUUGGACAAUGGGCGAAAGCCUGAUCCAGCAAUGCCGCGUGAGUGAUGAAGGCCUUAGGGUUGUAAAGCUCUUUUACCCGGGAUGAUAAUGACAGUACCGGGAGAAUAAGCUCCGGCUAACUCCGU